UGCAUCGGCCGGGAAUCGAACCUGGGCCACCUGCGUGGCUGGAGAGCAUUUUACCAUUGAACCACCGAUGC
rnacentral:tRNA from 1 species